AGCUCUCGGCCAGAGGAGUAGGGCUGCUCGCAUGAGCAAAGGGCUGCGGGAAGGAGUAAAGGCUGCAGGAUUUGCCCCGAAGCUUUCUAGAUGUGUGUGCUACAUCAUGACAGGACGAUGGGAAGACAUAUUUCCAUUAGCUACAGGCUGGGUGAACUCUAUUCUGCUGCAGUCAUUGCUUUUAUUCUGUGAA